AGUAGCCAUUGCCUAAUAAUUUCUUACCUGUAACUCCUAUUAAUCAUAAUUAGCAAAUUAGCCAAUGUUACCUCUGAGAGCAUUAGUUGUUGUUAAAAAAGAUUUCAAUAAAUUGAUGUGUGUUAUUCCUCUGAGUCUAGGAUGACUUGCAGACCCCUGCUGGCUAGAAGACGUGUGACUCAGGAGACAGAAAAGGAUUCACCUCCCUCGAAACCUACUGUGUGGGACAAGACAGAUGACAUCCAGAGGGAGCUAGACAGGCUCGAGGAGUGGGCACAUGAACACCUAACAAUGUUCACCAAGGCCAAAUGAAGCUGCGUGGCCAGAGACAGAAGGGGAAAAAAAAUAAUCCUAGGCUCAGGCUCUCCUCCUGCUGCUC